UAUCACAAACAAGUGUGUUUGAAUAAAUGCUGAAACGUUUCCAUUUAAACAAGGAUAUGUUCUUUUCAUAUGUAUGUGUGUGUGCGCGCUUUGAUUUUUCAACUUUUACAAUUAAAGAAAGGUGUUUUUUCUUUUUUUUUCUCUCUCUCCCAGAUAUAAGUCUGAAUUAUAUCAAGUGGCUUUUACUUUUUUAACUUCAUGCUGUGCUCGGUACAAUGUUUUAACACUGGCACAUUAAGAAGUUUCUGUUUAUCUGUCCAACCGAUGUUAUGUUUUCAAUAUUCGAUAACUUUGUUCGACCGAAUUAGCGGAAGCAAAUUGUACUGGACUGUCCUCUCAAUCGGAUAACCGAAUGGCUAAUAAGGACUAAUGCGUCUAUUUCGAGUUUGUUCUGGUUAACCAUUCCUUCGAAAGUGGAGUUUCCACGUGCGAAGUAAAGGUAGUACAUGUGUUCAAGAUCUUGGGUAAUAGAAACUUCGAAGCUGUAACUGGUGUCAGUUCAAGUUCAAGUUCAGACUAGUCAGAGCAGCCCAGCCCAUUAUCCAAUUCAGAUCAGUCACAACAGCUUAGCCCAAGACCCAGUUCAGACUAAUCAGGGCAACUUAGCCGAAGAACCAGUUCAUGUUAGUCAGAGCAGCCCAGUAAGUGUUUUUUGCUACCGUUUAUGGGUGAAAUGUGUUGUGAUUAUAUCCAUUCCAAGUUUGUGUCUUUCUCGUAAGUAAAUUGUACACUGUCUAAUUUUUUGUAACUUCACGUCUGUUAGACAGUAAAAAGAGAUAAAU